rnacentral:rRNA from 1 species
AGUUUGACUGGGGCGGUCUCCUCCCAAAGAGUAACGGAGGAGCACGAAGGUUAGCUAAUCCUGGUCGGACAUCAGGAGGUUAGUGCAAAGGCAUAAGCUAGCUUGACUGCGAGAGUGACGGCUCGAGCAGGUGCGAAAGCAGGUCUUAGUGAUCCGGUGGUUCUGAAUGGAAGGGCCAUCGCUCAACGGAUAAAAGGUACUCCGGGGAUAACAGGCUGAUACCGCCCAAGAGUUCAUAUCGACGGCGGUGUUUGGCACCUCGAUGUCGGCUCAUCACAUCCUGGGGCUGAAGUAGGUCCCAAGGGUAUGGCUGUUCGCCAUUUAAAGUGGUACGCGAGCUGGGUUUAGAACGUCGUGAGACAGUUCGGUCCCUAUCUGCCGUGGGCGUUGGAAGAUUGAGAGGGGCUGCUCCUAGUACGAGAGGACCGGAGUGGACGCACCGCUGGUGUUCGGGUUGUGAUGCCAAUUGCAUUGCCCGGUAGCUACGUGCGGAAAAGAUAAGCGCUGAAAGCAUCUAAGCGCGAAACUUGCCUCGAGAUGAGUCUU